AUUUAAAUAGUGUAUUAUACCAACACUUAACAUUUUCAUUGUUAAAAUUCCAAAGGAUUUAAAUA
rnacentral:tRNA from 2 species